rnacentral:tRNA from 1 species
GCCCAAGCUAGGAAAUCCGCAGGUCACACCCACGAUCACCCAACCUCGCUCCUUUAAAGCGAGUGUCGCGGGUUCGAAUCCUGCCAGGGGCA